rnacentral:rRNA from 2 species
GCGAUUUCGGGCGGUUGCUAAUAAUGCAAGUCGAACGCGUUGGCCCAAUUGAUUGAUGGUGCUUGCACCUGAUUGAUUUUGGUCGCCAACGAGUGGCGGACGGGUGAGUAACACGUAGGUAACCUGCCCAGAAGCGGGGGACAACAUUUGGAAACAGAUGCUAAUACCGCAUAACAACGUUGUUCGCAUGAACAACGCUUAAAAGAUGGCUUCUCGCUAUCACUUCUGGAUGGACCUGCGGUGCAUUAGCUUGUUGGUGGGGUAACGGCCUACCAAGGCCAUGAUGCAUAGCCGAGUUGAGAGACUGAUCGGCCACCACGGGACUGAGACACGGCCCUUACUCCUACGGGAGGCAGCAGUAAGGAAUCUUCCACAAUGGACGCAAUCCUGUUGUAUCAG